CCUACGGGCGGCAGCAGUGAGGAAUAUUGGUCACUGGACGAGAGUCUGAACCAGCCAAGUAGCGUGAAGGAUGACUGCCCUAUGGGUUGUAAACUUCUUUUAUAUGGGAAUAAAAUGUUCCACGUGUGGGAUUUUGUAUGUACCAUAUGAAUAAGGAUCGGCUAAUUCCGUGCCAGCAGCCGCGGUAAUACGGAGGAUCCGAGCGUUAUCCGGAUUUAUUGGGUUUAAAGGGAGCGUAGGUGGAUUGUUAAGUCAGUUGUGAAAGUUUGCGGCUCAACCGUAAAAUUGCAGUUGAAACUGGCAGUCUUGAGUACAGUAGAGGUGGGCGGAAUUCGUGGUGUAGCGGUGAAAUGCUUAGAUAUCACGAAGAACUCCGAUUGCGAAGGCAGUUCACUGGACUGCAACUGACACUGAGGCUCGAAAGUGUGGGUAUCAAACAGGAUUAGAUACCCCAGUAGUC
rnacentral:rRNA from 1 species